rnacentral:rRNA from 1 species
GACGAACGCUGGCGGCGCGCUUAACACAUGCAAGUCGAACGGAAAGGCCUGCUUUCCCUUGUGGAUUGCGGGUACUCGAGUGGCGAACGGGUGAGUAACACGUGAGUGAUCUGCCCCCAACUUGGGUAUAAGCCUGGGAAACUGGGUCUAAUUCCCGAUAGGACUGCAGGGUGGUGCCUGUGGUGGAAAACGAUUUUCUAGUGGUUGGGGAUGAGCUCGCGGCCUAUCAGCUUGUUGGUGGGGUAAUGGCCUACCAAGGCGGCGACGGGUAGCCGGCCUGAGAGGGUGGACGGUCACAUUGGGACUGAGAUACGGCCCAGACUCCUACGGGAGGCAGCAGUGGGGAAUAUUGCACAAUGGGCGGAAGCCUGAUGCAGCGACGCCGCGUGGGGGAUGACGGCCUUCGGGUUGUAAACUCCUUUCGACCGCGAGGAAGCCACCUGGUUGGAAGGGUGGUGACGGUAGUGGUAGAAGAAGCACCGGCUAACUACGUG